rnacentral:rRNA from 1 species
AGAGUUUGAUCAUGGCUCAGGACGAACGCUGGCGGCGCGCCUAACACAUGCAAGUCGAACGAGCGAGAGAGAGCUUGCUUUCUCAAGCGAGUGGCGAACGGGUGAGUAACGCGUGAGGAACCUGCCUCAAAGAGGGGGACAACAGUUGGAAACGACUGCUAAUACCGCAUAAGCCCACAGGUCGGCAUCGACCAGAGGGAAAAGGAGCAAUCCGCUUUGAGAUGGCCUCGCGUCCGAUUAGCUAGUUGGUGAGGUAACGGCCCACCAAGGCAACGAUCGGUAGCCGGACUGAGAGGUUGAACGGCCACAUUGGGACUGAGACACGGCCCAGACUCCUACGGGAGGCAGCAGUGGGGAAUAUUGCACAAUGGGGGAAACCCUGAUGCAGCGACGCCGCGUGGAGGAAGAAGGUCUUCGGAUUGUAAACUCCUGUUGUUGAGGAAGAUAAUGACGGUACUCAACAAGGAAGUGACGGCUAACUACGUGCCAGCAGCCGCGGUAAAACGUAGGUCACAAGCGUUGUCCGGAAUUACUGGGUGUAAAGGGAGCGCAGGCGGGAAGACAAGUUGGAAGUGAAAUCUAUGGGCUCAACCCAUAAACUGCUUUCAAAACUGUUUUUCUUGAGUAGUGCAGAGGUAGGCGGAAUUCCCGGUGUAGCGGUGGAAUGCGUAGAUAUCGGGAGGAACACCAGUGGCGAAGGCGGCCUACUGGGC